rnacentral:rRNA from 1 species
AUUGAACGCUGGCGGCAGGCCUAACACAUGCAAGUCGAACGAGUGGCGGACGGGUGGGUAAUGUCUGGGAAACUGCCUGAUGGCGGGGGAUAACUACUGGAAACGGUAGCUAAUACCGCAUACCAUCGGAUGUGCCCAGAUGGGCUUAGCUUGUUGGUGGGGUAACGGCGCACCAAGGCGACGAUCCCUAGCUGGUCUGAGAGGAUGACCAGCCACACUGUAACUGAGACACGGUCCAGACUCCUACGGGAGGCAGCAGUGGGUAAUAUUGCACAAUGGGCGCAAGCCGUAUGCAGCCAUGCCGCGUGUAUUAAGAAGGCCUUCGGGUUGUAAAGUACUUUCAGCGGGGAGGCGUUACCCGCAGAAGAAGCACCGGCUAACUCCGUGCCAGCAGCCGCGGUAAUUC